GUCCUAGCCGUAAACGAUGAACACUAGGUGUGGGAGGUAUCGACCCCUUCCGUGCCGCAGCUAACGCAUUAAGUGUUCCGCCUGGGGAGUACGGCCGCAAGGUUGAAACUCAAAGGAAUUGACGGGGGCCCGCACAAGCGGUGGAGCAUGUGGUUUAAUUCGACGCAACGCGAAGAACCUUACCGGGGCUUGAACUGCAGUGGACAGCUCUAGAAAUAGAGUCUCCCCGAAAGGGGCCGCUGUAGAGGUGCUGCAUGGCUGUCGU
rnacentral:rRNA from 1 species